rnacentral:rRNA from 1 species
AACGAACGCUGGCGGCAUGCCUAACACAUGCAAGUCGAACGAAGGCUUCGGCCUUAGUGGCGCACGGGUGAGUAACGCGUGGGAACCUGCCCUUUGGUACGGAAUAACAUCGGGAAACUGAUGCUAAUACCGUAUAUGGCUUUGGCUGAAAGAUUUAUCGCCGAAGGAGGGGCCCGCGUCUGAUUAGCUAGUUGGUGAGGUAAUGGCUCACCAAGGCGACGAUCAGUAGCUGGUCUGAGAGGAUGAUCAGCCACACUGGGACUGAGACACGGCCCAGACUCCUACGGGAGGCAGCAGUGGGGAAUAUUGGACAAUGGGCGGAAGCCUGAUCCAGCAACGCCGCGUGAGGGAUGACGGCCUUCGGGUUGUAAACCUCUUUCAGCACCGACGAAGCGCAAGUGACGGUAGGUGCAGAAGAAGGACCGGCCAACUACGUGCCAGCAGCCGCCGUAACAC